GUGGUUGUGCGCGUGAGGCUCGCUCGGUCCGUGCCCAUGGCUGUGGUGCGCGCCCCCACGUCGUCCGCAUCAGGUGCUAGCAGGGACGGAGCAGGUCGGCGCUGCUGUCUUGGAUAACCUGACCCCAUUCCAGUAGAGGUGACACCAUAGCACUCUUUGUGGAGCUUCGUCCCUGGCUGUUAAUUGGAACCACCCAAUGGAUCACAAGCUUUUCUCUUGUAUAAUCAGGCGAAUAAUGCAGAUCAACAUCACAGAAUGUAUCAUGGCAUGGAUUUCUCAUUGGAGCUGUCAUCUUGAACCAUAAUUUGCGGUAGAUGUGGUGGCAGUAAUGAAUUACUCAAAUAUUGUAUCUAUCCCAAACCAAUUUGUCAAACAGGGGUUUACCGUAAACUCUUGCUGGCUGGAUAAUAUUGAUAACCGCGGAUGAAUGAUAUUACACAAAGUAAUGAUGAUGAAAGGGAGCGCAUCCAGUUUUGCUGAAGAUCGCCUCCACGCGGCUAACAUUGAACUUACCAUGUUGGAUUAAGCAAUGCUGCCACUCUUGUGUAGAUGCCCGAACAUGUAAAUUAUGUCUAAAUCCAUUAGUAGUAUAUCAAAACUCCAAGAUCCCCAUGGCCUGCAAUCUUUAUGUUCACUGCUGGACAAUCUCAUCUAAAUCAAAGACAUCCCUGUUCAACUGUUUUACAUUUUAUUCUGCUAACACCAGUAAGAAGACUUACAUGGAUCUGAACAAAACUAGACAGAUGGAUAACCAUUCGCAACAUCAUAGCUUUUCUGGUGCUCACACUGGAAAUUUAUUAAGAAUUUUCGGUACGAAAUAUCUUGUAUUAUGUCCUUGAUUCGAUAAAAAUAAUUAGACAUGCCUUAACUUUGUCUAAAUUUGGUGUCUUAACUGUCUCAAAAUUUAGACAAAAUUAAGACAUAUUUCAUGCGACA